UUACUGUAAGAAUAAGCACCGGCUAAUUCCGUGCCAGCAGCCGCGGUAAUACGGAAGGUGCAAGCGUUAUCCGGUUUUAUUGGGUUUAAAGGGUGCGUAGGCGGCUUAUUAAGUCAGUUGUGAAAUCCUAGUGCUUAACGCUAGAACUGCAAUUGAUACUAUUAGGCUUGAGUUAAGAAUAGGUAAGUAGAAUUUAUGGUGUAGUAGUGAAAUGCUUAGAUAUCAUAAGGAAUACCAAUAGCGUAGGCAGCUUACUGGUCUUUAACUGACGCUGAGGCACGAAAGCGUGGGGAGCAAACAGGAUUAGAUACCCUGGUAGUCCACGCCGUAAACGAUGAUCACUCGGUAUACAUAAAUUUAUGUGUGUCUAAGCGAAAGCGUUAAGUGAUCCACA
rnacentral:rRNA from 3 species